CGGGGGGGGCUGUGCCUGCCUCUGUGACUUGUUUGUAGAGGCUGCGUGAGUCGCUGAAGAAGAGCCCGCGUUCGUGUGCAGCAGAACGCGUCCCCCGCCCGGCGACCACGGCGGGCGCAGGGCCCCUCCUGGACACUCUGCUCAGCGUGACUCACACGGUGGCGCGUCCGGUCCCCGCGCGGAGGCCCCCGUGCCAGUCCUAUGGAGGGGGCGGCUGGGAGCGGAGGCCGGCCGCGUGGGGCCUGUCGGCAGGGAUGAGAGCUGCCCAAACGGCACAGAGGAGGCAGAACCGCGGACGUGCGUCCCGGCAGCCGUCGGGAAGUGCGCGUGAGCCGCUCGAACAUACAAACGGCAUCACGCGGGUGGCAGUGUCUCUCCUUGACCGCUUGGUUCCCGUUGGGCCAUAAAGCUGGGAGAAAUUUGCUCGGUGGAAAGACUUCGCCAGCAGACGGCUAAUGGUUUCAGGACAUCGGUAACUGCAAGCUGGAUGCCAGAAAAGGGAUUUCUCUGCGUCAACAAGAAACGGACGGGUCUCUCGGCCAGGAUGGAGUGGAUGACGCAGCCAGAGAGGCGCAGAAGAAGCCCCAGAGUCGAGACCGCGAAGCAAAGGUGCCAACAGAUUCGCACACACAUGACCACGAACGGAGACCAGGCCUUCCCUGUGGCUCCACCCGGCAGCGGCCGUGGGGGCCUCACAGAACCGGCUGGGGUACAGACAGGAGCCUCGGUUCUGCUGAGAAGCCUGCCCUCUGCGGGCAGAGCUGGCCAGGGGCAGCCUCCGGGUCACCGCGGCCCGCUCGGGGAUCCAGCCUGCACCGGGAUGGGGCGGACAGACUGAUGGAGCCCCCCCUCCCCCGCCAUCCACAGCAGUGAUGCAGAUGAGCCGGUGAGCUUCUCCAAGCUUCUCCUGUCGGGGGGCCAGGCGCUAAAUCCUUGGGCCAGACGGGCCCUCCGGCAACUCUCUGAGUCGGCCCCGCAGGGCAAAGGCGGCCACAGACCACGGGCACACGGAUGCGAGGCAGCCGCGCCCCGGUGAGCCUCCACUAGGGAGAACAGGCCGCAAGCUGGCCCGUGGGCCACCGUUGCCAAGCCCCCGACCUAAAACGCCGCGAGUCCCCACGGCCGGGGAAGCGGGGCUGCCGGGCUCCAGGGUCUCACCCCGGGGCUCCUCUGCCAUGGCCUCCGGGUACAGUCCACGGGGACACCACACACAUACACACGCCAUGUGUGCACACUUUUUCCUGCUCCGUUUGUUGGAAGCACCUCUUCAAGAACUCCAGUUAUCCUCAGGUCGGCUUGUCUUGUCUAUUAAUACGGAUUAGUUUGUGAAGUUCUUCAUAAAAACUUACUUGUUAAA